AUGACAAAGAAAAGAAGGAACCAUGUCAUGCCAAAAAGAGGCACAGCCACAUGCAGCCUAUUUGCUGCAGACACUGUGCCCAAUGUAUGCCCAAGGACAAGGCUACUAAGAAGUUCGUCAUUCAAAACAGAAGAGGCUGCAGCUAUCAGACAUUUCCAAAGGGAGUGUCUUCGACUCCUGCGUGCUUCCCAAGGUAUAUGUGAAGCUACGUUAAUGCCUGAGUUGUGCCAUUCACAGCAUGUUAGUUGAGAAUGGAUCUCAUGAAGUACUGAAUGCACCCACCAUGAUUUAGACCUCCUGGUGCUGCCCCAUGACCUCCAACAAAACCCUUGUAA
rnacentral:lncRNA from 1 species